rnacentral:lncRNA from 1 species
UUGCUUAUGGUUGGAUGCCCUACCUCUUACCUACCUCCACCUGCUUCGAGGCAAGAUAAUAUUUCUCCAUGGUUGAUCAUGUUUUUACAGAAGAUUGAAUACAAAUGACACUGCCUGUAAGAAGUUGUUAUCCAUGUCUCAAAAAAAAAAAACAGAAGAAUGGAGGAGCCGAAGAGAUGGAGCAGACAAAUCCAGUAGAAUGGACACAGUAAAUCACUCAGACUCUAGCGUAAGUUCAAAUAAGUCCUGGUCCAGCCAGUAAACCAAUGGACAAUGACAUUCCUGCUGUAAUCACUCUAUCUUUUAUUCAGAAGUAAUAAACACAUCUAAAA